GGAUGUUGUGGAAGAAGGGAACUGUGUCUAGACUGGCCAUGGAUAUACUGAGUGUUGUAUUUGCUGGUAGUAGCCAUUAGUUUUGUACCACCUUUUGGGAGGAAAGUGAGAUAGACUUGGAGACUUGUGUCCUUCCAGUACAGUCAGCAGAAGAUUUGUCAUCAUCUUCCAGUGAAGAAUAAAAAAAUUAAGGCCCUGAGCUGGCUGAAGAUUUUCCACUGGAUUUCACAAACAUCCCUCUGCUCAGUGUGGUGCUUCAGCAUGGCUGGACAGCAUCCAACCAAGAACAAUACUAAGACUCCAAAGGUUGCAAAGUCAAGCACCCUGGUGCUAGAAGCUGCCGGCAGUCAGGUUGUUCAUGACAGAAGCAACUUGAAGAAGUCAUGGACCUGCCAGGAGGAGUGACCAUGUGGAGGAGCAGAGCAAGGCAGCUGAGAUGGGGAGGGAUGUCUCUAACCCUGUGCCCAAACCUUGGAGAAGGAGCCUGCCCAGGGCCAGCCAUGCUGAUGGGGACUUGGGACCAGCUGGUCAUGGCAAGUGAGCACAACCCUGCCCCAACACCUGAUGAAACAGAGCUUUAUAGUUACAAGCAGAACACCUUCUUGUUGAUAACCAUUCCCUAAGUGUUUAAUAAAAGCUACUGAGCAGCU